CCUACGGGGGGCAGCAGUGGGGAAUAUUGGACAAUGGGCGAAAGCCUGAUCCAGCCAUGCCGCGUGUGUGAAGAAGGCCAUCGGGUUGUAAAGCACUUUCAGUGGGGAAGAAAGCCUUGGGGCUAAUACCCUCGAGGAAGGACAUCACCCACAGAAGAAGCACCGGCUAACUCCGUGCCAGCAGCCGCGGUAAUACGGAGGGUGCGAGCGUUAAUCGGAAUUACUGGGCGUAAAGCGCGCGUAGGCGGUCUGAUAAGCCGGUUGUGAAAGCCCCGGGCUCAACCUGGGAACGGCAUCCGGAACUGUCAGGCUAGAGUGCAGGAGAGGAAGGUAGAAUUCCCGGUGUAGCGGUGAAAUGCGUAGAGAUCGGGAGGAAUACCAGUGGCGAAGGCGGCCUUCUGGACUGACACUGACGCUGAGGUGCGAAAGCGUGGGUAGCAAACAGGAUUAGAUACCCCGGUAGUC
rnacentral:rRNA from 1 species